GCGCCGUAGUGAUGGGUUAAGUUGUUGUUAGCUCAGGUAGUUCCAGGAACUUCUAAGCCGUAGGUCGUAGGUUCGAAUCCUACAGGGCGUGCCA
rnacentral:tRNA from 1 species